rnacentral:tRNA from 1 species
GCCCAGCUGGCUCAGUCAGUAGAGCGUGCAACUCUUGAUCUUGGGGUCAUGAGUUCAAGCCCAUGUUGGGCA